rnacentral:tRNA from 1 species
UCUUUGAUGGUCUAACGGUUAUGAUUUCCGCUUGUCACGCGGGAGACCGGGGUUCGACUCCCCGUCAGCUAA